CCUACGGGUGGCAGCAGUGAGGAAUAUUGGUCAAUGGACGCGAGUCUGAACCAGCCAAGUAGCGUGAAGGAAGACUGCCCUAUGGGUUGUAAACUUCUUUUAUAUGGGAAUAAAACGUUCCACGUGUGGGUUUUUGUAUGUACCAUAUGAAUAAGGAUCGGCUAACUCCGUGCCAGCAGCCGCGGUAAUACGGAGGAUCCGAGCGUUAUCCGGAUUUAUUGGGUUUAAAGGGUGCGUAGGUGGAUUGUUAAGUCAGUUGUGAAAGUUUGCGGCUCAACCGUAAAAUUGCAGUUGAAACUGGUAGUCUUGAGUGCAGUAGAGGUAGGCGGAAUUCGUGGUGUAGCGGUGAAAUGCUUAGAUAUCACGAAGAACUCCGAUUGCGAAGGCAGCUCACUGGGCUGCAACUGACACUGAGGCUCGAAAGUGUGGGUAUCAAACAGGAUUAGAUACCCCGGUAGUC
rnacentral:rRNA from 1 species